UGCAAGUCGAACGGAAACGAAACUAGCUUGCUAGUAGGCGUCGAGUGGCGGACGGGUGAGUAACGCGUAGGAAUCUGCCUGAUAGUGGGGGAUAGCCCGAAGAAAUUCGGAUUAAUACCGCAUAAUCUAUUCGUAGUAAAGUGGGGGACUUUCGAGCCUCACGCUAUCAGAUGAGCCUGCGUAAGAUUAGCUUGUUGGUAGGGUAAAAGCCUACCAAGGCAACGAUCUUUAGCUGGUCUGAGAGGAUGAUCAGCCACAUCGGGACUGAGACACGGCCCGAACUCCUACGGGAGGCAGCAGUGGGGAAUAUUGGACAAUGGGGGCAACCCUGAUCCAGCAAUACCGCGUGUGUGAAGAAGGCCCGAGGGUUGUAAAGCACUUUCAAUUGUGAAGAAAAGUUAACGGUUAAUAACCGUUGACCUUGACGUUAACUUUAGAAGAAGCACCGGCUAACUCCGUGCCAGCAGCCGCGGUAAUACGGAGGGUGCAAGCGUUAAUCGGAAUUACUGGGCGUAAAGCGUGCGUAGGUGGCCAAUUAAGUCAAAUGUGAAAUCCCCGAGCUUAACUUGGGAAUUGCAUUCGAUACUGGUUGGCUAGAGUAUGGGAGAGGAUGGUAGAAUUCCAGGUGUAGCGGUGAAAUGCGUAGAGAUCUGGAGGAAUACCGAUGGCGAAGGCAGCCAUCUGGCCUAAUACUGACACUGAGGUGCGAAAGCAUGGGGAGCAAACAGGAUUAGAUACCCUGGUAGUCCAUGCCGUAAACGAUGUCUACUAGCCGUUGGGGCCUUUGAGGCUUUAGUGGCGCAGCUAACGCGAUAAGUAGACCGCCUGGGGAGUACGGUCGCAAGACUAAAACUCAAAUGAAUUGACGGGGGCCCGCACAAGCGGUGGAGCAUGUGGUUUAAUUCGAUGCAACGCG
rnacentral:rRNA from 1 species